rnacentral:tRNA from 3 species
GCCCGGAUGGCGGAAUUGGUAGACGCGUUGGUCUCAAACACCAAUGAUAGCAAUAUCGUGCCGGUUCGAUCCCGGCUCCGGGCA